AAAUCCCCUUUGGUUUCUAAUGGAACACAUUUCAAAGUGCUCCAACUUGAAAACAGUUCAACAUAUUGACAUAAUUAUUAUUGGCAAUAGAUAGGAAGUCACAUCUGGGCUUUCAAUUGUUACCAUGACCUUCGACCUUUACUGACCUUGAAAGGUUAAACGAAUGUCAAUUAAUGUCUUUAAGUAUGCUGUUGGACUACAGGAGCCUCGGUCCUAUUUUGAAUUUCUUACGACAU